rnacentral:rRNA from 1 species
GACGAACGCUGGCGGCGUGCUUAACACAUGCAAGUCGAACGGAAAGGCCUGCUUUCCCUUGUGGAUUGCGGGUACUCGAGUGGCGAACGGGUGAGUAACACGUGAGUGAUCUGCCCCCAACUUGGGUAUAAGCCUGGGAAACUGGGUCUAAUUCCCGAUAGGACGGCAGGGUGGUGCCUGUGGUGGAAAACGAUUUUCUAGUGGUUGGGGAUGAGCUCGCGGCCUAUCAGCUUGUUGGUGGGGUAAUGGCCUACCAAGGCGGCGACGGGUAGCCGGCCUGAGAGGGUGGACGGCCACAUUGGGACUGAGAUACGGCCCAGACUCCUACGGGAGGCAGCAGUGGGGAAUAUUGCACAAUGGGCGGAAGCCUGAUGCAGCGACGCCGCGUGGGGGAUGACGGCCUUCGGGUGGUAAACUCCUUUCGACCGCGAGGAAGCCACCUGGUUGGAAGGGUGGUGACGGUAGUGGUAGAAGAAGCACCGGCUAACUACGUG